GCACAAACAACAGGAAGUGUCAGAAAUGGAUCAGAUGAACUUUUUUGGUGUUAGUUGGUUUGAAUCACUCUGAAACAUUAAUUUCUGUUUGAUAAAGUUAUACAAAUCCAGUUGAUAAUGAAAUCUGCUGUUCCUCCAUCCAUUAUAACUCUCCGUGAGGAUGAUUAUGAGGACGGUUUGAGGAACAGGAUGCUGUGCUGUUUCAGCCGUGUUUGGUCAGCUAACUGUAGCAACUACCGUUUACAGGCCUGAGGGCAAGUGACAUGCUAAUGGUCAACUAAUGUCAAGGUGGAGCAACAUUUGAAGAGAUUCUUGCAGAACAAGUCAGUAAAAAAACGCUUGAGUGCUGCCAGCAGACUCAGACAGGCUCGGCUAGCUCCUCAUAAGCAGGACUUCCUUUCUAGCUGUGAGCUUGAUCAGACUCCCAUCAGGAAUUCCAGGCAUUUUUCUGCGGCGUUCCUGGAGUUCCUCGCGACAGAAGCAUGUGGAUAGUCCGCGGGCGGCGUGUAAGCGGCUCCACACCACAGACCCCCUCCGUUCCUCCUCAGCCUCGCUGUCUCGCUCUCAUGCUCAUUCCCAUCCCCGGUUGCCAGGGCAGCGUCCAGAAAUCCCUGCUCUCCUGUAAUGAGUCUGU